rnacentral:piRNA from 1 species
UGCAUAGUCUGUUCCUAAUGCAAUAUGC